CAACGCCGCGUGGGGAUGAAGCUUUUCGGAGUGUACACCCUUUCGACCGGAAGAAAGCCCGCAAGGGUUUGACGGUACGGGUAUAAGAAGCCCGGCUAACUACGUGC
rnacentral:rRNA from 1 species